AAAUUGAAGAGUUUGAUCAUGGCUCAGAUUGAACGCUGGCGGCAGGCCUAACACAUGCAAGUCGAACGGUAACAGGAAGCAGCUUGCUGCUUCGCUGACGAGUGGCGGACGGGUGAGUAAUGUCUGGGAAACUGCCUGAUGGAGGGGGAUAACUACUGGAAACGGUGGCUAAUACCGCAUAACGUCGCAAGACCAAAGAGGGGGACCUUCGGGCCUCUUGCCAUCAGAUGUGCCCAGAUGGGAUUAGCUUGUUGGUGAGGUAACGGCUCACCAAGGCGACGAUCCCUAGCUGGUCUGAGAGGAUGACCAGCCACACUGGAACUGAGACACGGUCCAGACUCCUACGGGAGGCAGCAGUGGGGAAUAUUGCACAAUGGGCGCAAGCCUGAUGCAGCCAUGCCGCGUGUAUGAAGAAGGCCUUCGGGUUGUAAAGUACUUUCAGCGGGGAGGAAGGUGUUGUGGUUAAUAACCGCAGCAAUUGACGUUACCCGCAGAAGAAGCACCGGCUAACUCCGUGCCAGCAGCCGCGGUAAUACGGAGGGUGCAAGCGUUAAUCGGAAUUACUGGGCGUAAAGCGCACGCAGGCGGUCUGUCAAGUCGGAUGUGAAAUCCCCGGGCUCAACCUGGGAACUGCAUUCGAAACUGGCAGGCUUGAGUCUUGUAGAGGGGGGUAGAAUUCCAGGUGUAGCGGUGAAAUGCGUAGAGAUCUGGAGGAAUACCGGUGGCGAAGGCGGCCCCCUGGACAAAGACUGACGCUCAGGUGCGAAAGCGUGGGGAGCAAACAGGAUUAGAUACCCUGGUAGUCCACGCCGUAAACGAUGUCUACUUGGAGGUUGUGCCCUUGAGGCGUGGCUUCCGGAGCUAACGCGUUAAGUAGACCGCCUGGGGAGUACGGCCGCAAGGUUAAAACUCAAAUGAAUUGACGGGGGCCCGCACAAGCGGUGGAGCAUGUGGUUUAAUUCGAUGCAACGCGAAGAACCUUACCUGGUCUUGACAUCCACAGAAGAAUCCAGAGAUGGAUUUGUGCCUUCGGGAACUGUGAGACAGGUGCUGCAUGGCUGUCGUCAGCUCGUGUUGUGAAAUGUUGGGUUAAGUCCCGCAACGAGCGCAACCCUUAUCCUUUGUUGCCAGCGGUUAGGCCGGGAACUCAAAGGAGACUGCCAGUGAUAAACUGGAGGAAGGUGGGGAUGACGUCAAGUCAUCAUGGCCCUUACGACCAGGGCUACACACGUGCUACAAUGGCGCAUACAAAGAGAAGCGACCUCGCGAGAGCAAGCGGACCUCAUAAAGUGCGUCGUAGUCCGGAUUGGAGUCUGCAACUCGACUCCAUGAAGUCGGAAUCGCUAGUAAUCGUGGAUCAGAAUGCCACGGUGAAUACGUUCCCGGGCCUUGUACACACCGCCCGUCACACCAUGGGAGUGGGUUGCAAAAGAAGUAGGUAGCUUAACCUUCGGGAGGGCGCUUACCACUUUGUGAUUCAUGACUGGGGUGAAGUCGUAACAAGGUAACCGUAGGNNNGGGAACCUGCGGUUGGAUCACCUCCUUACCUUAAAGAA
rnacentral:rRNA from 1 species